GAGACGGGGUCGGCGUCGGCGACGCGCCGUUCCACGGUCGCCAUCCCUCGUCGUCCGUCGCGGGCUCGUGCCGUGCCGCUAUCCAUUCUCCGAGUGGGCUAUGUACCUCAUUGUCGACGCGCCAUGGACGCCAAGCUGCUUCUAUAGGAAGCCCAAGAUUGUCCAGCACAUAUUGUGUUGAAAUGAAUGAGCACACUGCAUCCAUAUCACCACUGGUACACAAAGGCAUAGUUUAAGUCAUGUUAUGAUGUAGCGCACCGAGCAAGGUAUUUUGACACACAUAAAUCUGAACAUAUGUACCUGUACAGCCAUAUUCUCGUGCCACUUGAAAUGAGUUUCUUGAUUGAUGGCAGCAUUGUCUCUGGUGAAUCUUUCCAAUUAUCAAAUAUCUGCUGACUGCUUGAAGGAAACAUAUAAAUUAAUCAUAUACAUGUUGUACUGUUGACUUCCCCCUAGUGCCAAUUGCUAAUCUAGUAAGAGAUUUACUUGAGGCUGAACGAAUUCUCAACAGUUAAACUUGUUUAUACAUGACUGAGUAUGCAGCAUGUGAUAGCCAUAUUGACACUCUAUAGAAACAAUCAAGGAUGAGUCGGGAUACAUGCAUCUUGGUGCAUACUCAAUCUUAUAGAUAUGCAGCAUGUGACCUAAGCCCCUAGGGGCACCUUUGGUUAAAUAUCUUAUGGUUUCAAAUAGUUGACUGCUGGACAGGCAGAAUAUAGGUUUGAGAAUACAGGAUUUGUGGCUUUGUGUUGUAAGGGUUAUUGGCCUCUUUUCUUUUUAAUACAAACUACAAAGAUACACAGCCGUCUACCCUCCAGUGUGUUUGAGAAAACAAAAGAAUAUUAGCUUGAGUGGCAUUGCGCCUUUUUUAGUGUUGACUUAAAUAUACCUUUUUGCAUACAGCAUGUUGUGCUAAUGGAAUAAUUCUUGGCAAUCGUGGUUCACAUACUCUUUGAUGGUUAACUGGAAGAGGUUGUUGCUACCUUUUUAGAAUUAAUGUUAUUGAGAAGUGAGUGAUGAAAAGAUAUAUAAGUAUUCUGUUCCUUCAGAUUAUAUAAGUAAUUGUUUGUACAUAAAGCACCUACCUUUUCAUAUGGCUUUAGGAAACCAACAGAUUGCUAAUAGGGUCACACAAGAGAUAUGGUCUGACGUUGCACAUAAAUUUGAGGGAAAUAUGAUAUUCAGAUAUUCAAUAUACAUACCUACAGUCCAUCCAUGGGUAGCCUAACCCUGUUGUGUUUGCAUGGAGUGCCCUUUGGACCUCAGGACGAUUUAGGUAAGAGGAGACGUAGUGGUUUGUGCAUGGAUCACCAAACACUAACUGAAAUAGUAAACAAAAAGUUCCAGUAUACCAAAAUUUCAUAUAGAAAUGGAAGUUAAAACAUCUGUCAAUCUGUGAAAUUUAUGUACGAUGUUGUAUACCGAGUCACUUGAUUUAGAAGGGUUUGAGGCAUCUUGGCAUAUUGGUGCAUAGAUGUCAUAGUCAUCAAUAUUUCCUUUUUCUUGGGUGGCUAAGUCCAUGGCAUUUUGGCAGUCUUCAGUGUAUGUCCCAUUAAAGCCGCACUUAUCCUUGACGGCUUUAUAAGCUUUUCCCGAAAUCAUAGCAUGCAUCCAAUAGUAGUCAUAUGAUGCUCUUAGAGUCAAAUUAUCAUCCAAGUCUGCAUUUCCAAUCUGAUGAAGUUUACAGUGUUACCAUUGAUGAGAAAUUUACCAAAUUACAAGUUUCAAUUUAGUUGACUGAAAACUCACCGCAACACCUUUAAGCUUGAUACUAGUUACAUUGGUGGCUCUAUUCUUAGAGAGAAUCAGAUUUGCAAGUUCUGGUAUAUAGUGACCUGCAUAGCUCUCACCAGUUAUGAAGAAAUCACGGUCCUGAUAUUCAGGAAAUUUCUCUAGCCAAGUAAUAAGAAAGGUAUAUGCAUCAUCUGUUGUUCUUUGGUCACCAGUGUUAUAGUAAUCUGAUGUAGUGUUUGAAUAUGAGUAUCCAACACCAGCUGGGAUCUCAAUGAACAACAUGUUGGCCACUGCAUUCAUGAAUGGAAAAUGGAAUAUCAGUUGACUCCAUUCUUUGAAAAUAUAGUUUACUUUAGUUGUCCUAAGCUUUAUUUUUUUACCAAAUUUAUAGAAAAAAUGUAUUGACAUUUAUAGUAUUAAAUUAGUUCCAUUAAAUUCUCUAUGAAAAUGUUUUGGUAGUGCAUUUAUUUGAACUUGUAGAUGUUAUUAUAUUUUUUCUAAAAACAUGAUCAAAGUUCGAACAAACUAUUAUUUGCAGCGGAGGAAGUAACUAUUAAUCCAGUAAAGAUUAAAGCGGAUUUUACUUCUGUUCCAUGCAUGCCUUUUCUUGUACAGUGUCUUGUUGUCACUAUGAACAGAGAAAGGUCCAAGUUCAACCAUGGCCCCAGAUCCAAAGGAUGAACAGCCAGGCCCUGCAGAUACAGACAUACAGAGUGGACUCACUCUUUUGGACUUAGAGUUGAAAAACGAAGUGAUGGGACAGGAAGAAUCAACUUUAGAAGGGAAUCCCACUUUCUAGCAGCGCACAUAUGCAAAAUACCUUCUCAGACCACAUAUUGUCAAAGAGAAGUGAACGAGGAAAAAAGAUAAACAACAAAAGAGUAGAGGCUUGUGAAGUUUCAAUCACUCAGGUGGCAACUUUAUACCGAGGCAUGCUGCUUUUGGGUUCAGAAGCAUCCCAGCAGAACGACACAUAGAUAUUGGAUUCAUCGAUGAGGCCCUUCUCACUGAUAGCUGCUUCUACUGCAGUUCUACCGAAUCUUGUGUAUGUUCCAUUAAAGCCUUAAUUUUCAUGGACUGUAUGAGUUUCUUUGGAGAUCAUAGCAUGUGUCCAGUAGUAAUCGAUGAUUGCUCUUGUGUUUGUGUCUCAUCCACGUUAAGGUUUUACAUACUAAACCAAUUAAGGUUUUACUGGUUAGGAGUGGGAGUCUUAAAAUUAAAGCCUGUUGUGCUCAACAAAGUAUCUACUUUGGGCAUUGUACUUAGGUCAGUUGGCCUAACAAUCUGUAGAAUUGUGCCCUGUUUAUAUAAGAAAAUAAUAGCCAGCUUCUUUUCCAUUUCAACAUGCUAAGGUUGAUACUAGGUAUGAUAGACCGUCAGUUUCCGUUGUCCUUUCUGUCCCCCUUUGGGCAAGCAACUACAAUCAACAAUGGAUUCUUCCAAUAAAUGGCUGUGGAUGUUUUGUAGUAUUUGCUAGGCCACUAGCAGGAAAGAAAAAAACUGCUGUAUGGCGCUGAUCUGUAGUAAGUUCCAACUGUUUUUCAAUUUUGAACCUUGAAACCAUGCUUGUAUCAAAUGGAUGGUCAGGGAAACUACUUUUUUGUGGAUUAAACAAGAUCAAAUAAAACGGCAGGCAAGCAGAGUAUAAAAGCACAUAUUAAAGUGUAUAAGUGGAUCGGCUACCUUCUCCCAUCAGUUUAAGCUUUUGAGUUGAACUGAUUAGUACAUUCCCUCUAACAUGGUAUCAAGGCUGGACGUCUCGAGUUUGAAUUCUGACAAAGGUUUUAUUUGUGUCUCCAUCCAUUUAUUUUCACGUUUGCGCUUUUCUCUCUAGCUGCACAUGAGUGAGGGUGUUGAAGUGUAUAAUUGGAUUAACUAUCUUCUUCCAUCAACUUAUGUUUUUGGGUUGGACUGGUUAGUACAUCCACUCUAACAGCACAAUUGUGUGCUGGAACUGGAAAGGCAAAAUAAACCACAUACCAAUUGGUUAGUAGGUUUCCUUACCUCCAUUGAGCCAAAUGACCAAUGAUUUGGUAGAUGGAUCUUCAGCAGCCUCUGCGAAGAAGUCAAAGAGGGCCUUUCCAGAUGUUGCAUCAACCAUGACAUAGCGGGCCGGCAUACUGAUCAAAGGCAGCCUUCUCGGGCUGCCCAGGAAGCUCGCUGAUAUUAUCAGCUUUCUUCAACCCAUCUUGCAGGAUAUAUUGGAUGAUCCAUGCUCCAACUUGUAAGUAUUCCAUUGUCUAGACGAUCAUGUUGCGUCUCCAUUCUUGACCUUGAAAACUCCUGCAAUCGGCAAGCCUGGUUAGUCAUCAGCAAGUGACAUUUGUGCGAGCACAAGGCAGAACAAUUGGAUGACAGAUGCAUCUCUUCUGAGCUUGGAGACCAAAGGAGAAAUUGAUACACUGGAAUACUGGAUCAUGAUAUGACUAACUAACAACCAUGAGGCAAUAGAUGAUACUUAAAUGCACAUAGGUACAAAUGUGUACUUGUGUAGUGUCUUGAUUGUUUAAAUCUUGUGUUCCAACAUUUAAUACCUUGCUCGAUUAGUUGGGUUCAUCCAGUGGUAAAACUAAGGUGUAUAUAGAUGUAUAAAAAUAUAAGUCGGUUUGCUUGCAAGCUGCCAACGUGUGUUAUCAGGCAAUACUUUGGUACUCUGAAGUUCAUUGUGAUGUGACUGUGCUGCAUCUGUUCCAUCCAAGCACAAAAGGGGGAACGGGGAUCUACACGGAGGACUGAUUUUGCAGCAUCUGUCAAGCAAGCAAGAAGUGGUCAUAGCGACCGAAAUAUCUGGAACCUGUGUUGUUAAUUGAAGAGCAUACAAGUCAUAAGAGCGAUUGGUUCGUAGCUGCAUUCUCGCUGGAAGAAGAUUGGAAUGCUGUCGCUGGAAGACGAGUAAAAGAUGAAAAAUCCAGCUAUGGCUAUAAGAUUGGAAUGCGCCCCAAAGUGACCACAAUAGAAAUAUUUCAAAAUCACCUCUGCAGUAAAGGAAAAGCAUCAGACUUAAAAUAUGGCAUCUAUGGUGCACAGUUUGUGUAGAAGAAGUUUGCAUAGCGGGCAGCAAGACAGCGGCGGCUCAGGGCGUGUUGUGUUCCGAAAAUGAAUAGAGGAUGCAAGCUUUGAGUUUUAAAUUUAGACCUCUGCAUCUAAUACGUAUUAAAGGUAUACAAUUUUUCUUC